rnacentral:rRNA from 1 species
GUUUGAUCCUGGCUCAGGACGAACGCUGGCGGCGUGCUUAACACAUGCAAGUCGAGGGCACUUAUGCAGCAAUGUGUGAGUGACCGGCGAACGGGUGCAUAACACAUGAGCGACCUUGCCUCGUGGUGGGGGAUAGCCAGCCCAACGGCCGGGUAAUACCGCAUAGGGUGGUCUUUUCGCAUGGAGAGACCAGCAAAGCCUUGCAGCAAUGCAAUGGCGCCACAGGGGGGGCUCGCGGCCUAUCAGCUAGUUGGGGGGGUAAUGGCCCACCAAGGCGACGACGGGUAGCUGGUCUGAGAGGAUGGCCAGCCACAUUGGGACUGAGAGACGGCCCAGACUCCUACGGGAGGCAGCAAUGGGGAAUCUUGCGCAAUGGCCGAAAGGCUGACGCAGCGACGCCGCGUGGGGGAGGAAGGCCUUCGGGUUGUAAACCCCUGUUGCCCGGGACGAAUGCGUACCAUAGGGUGCGUUGACGGUACCGGGUGAGGAAGCACCGGCUAACUCCGUGCCAGCAGCCGCGGUAAUACGGAGGGUGCAAGCGUUGUCCGGAAUCACUGGGCGUAAAGGGCGCGUAGGCGGCUCAUAAAGGCUGUGGUGAAAGUUCGGGGCUCAACCUCGAAUCGGCCGUGGCGACUUGUGGGCUGGAGCACUGUAGAGGCGAGUGGAAUUCCCGGUGUAGCGGUGGAAUGCGUAGAGAUCCGGAAGAACACCAGUGGCGAAGGCGGCUCGCUGGGCAGUGGCUGACGCUGAAGCGCGACAGCGUGGGGAGCAAACAGGAUUAGAUACCCUGGUAGU